AUUGAACGCUGGCGGCAGGCCUAACACAUGCAAGUCGAACGGUAACAGGAAGCAGCUUGCUGCUUUGCUGACGAGUGGCGGACGGGUGAGUAAUGUCUGGGAAACUGCCCGAUGGAGGGGGAUAACUACUGGAAACGGUAGCUAAUACCGCAUAACGUCGCAAGACCAAAGAGGGGGACCUUAGGGCCUCUUGCCAUCGGAUGUGCCCAGAUGGGAUUAGCUAGUAGGUGGGGUAACGGCUCACCUAGGCGACGAUCCCUAGCUGGUCUGAGAGGAUGACCAGCCACACUGGAUCUGAGACACGGUCCAGACUCCUACGGGAGGCAGCAGUGGGGAAUAUUGCACAAUGGGCGCAAGCCUGAUGCAGCCAUGCCGCGUGUAUGAAGAAGGCCUUCGGGUUGUAAAGUACUUUCAGCGGGGAGGAAGGGAGUAAAGUUAAUACCUUUGCUCAUUGACGUUACCCGCAGAAGAAGCACCGGCUAACUCCGUG
rnacentral:rRNA from 1 species